UAUGUGUGUGUGUCUCUGUAUGUAUGUGUCUGUAUCAUACAGACACAUACAUACAGAGACACACACACAUACA